GCCACCUAGUGAGCAGGAGACAUGAAUAUGAACGACAACGCAGAGAGUGUGUCGUCAACUGGAAUGUCUUCUCAGAGGGACACAAAAGGGAAUUUCGGAAGGAAUACCAAAUUUCCAGGUGCUUUUACUGCGACAACCUUUAUAAGGACGUUGGCACAGGCUACCGGGGAAGUGGACGGCGAGGAGUGUUGCAGGGUUUUUACUCAGAAGAGGGCUUCCCGGGGUAAUGCAGCUGGAGCUGUUGUCUGGUGGUUGAGGGAACAGCAGACCCCGCCUCACCCCAGUGAAGAAUCCACAGUGCCCAAUAAAUAAAAAUGUAUUCUGCACUGAAA